rnacentral:lncRNA from 10 species
CUUUCCUGUAGUUUCCUGAUAAAAGGUCCUUUGGAAACUUUGAUUCUCUUCUCACCAAGUUGAACGGAGAUGUGUUCCCAUAGUAAGAGUGAGGCCCCUGCAUUUGCUGCCCUCGGUUUUCCCAACUAACACCAGGGCCUCCCCCCUGUACCCCAUUCAUAUGCCUCAGAAGCUGACAAUGACUGUUGGGCUUUUCCAAUGAAUACCAGAACACCAUUUCCUGCAGCCUGAAAAGAAGACAGUAUAAUUGUUUGGCAGCAAGAGAAUCCAGGUGCCCUUCCAUGAGAAGCCCAAGCCAUGUGGAGAAGCCACGUCUAGGGACUCCAGUUAACACUCUCAGCUGAGUCCCCAGCUGACAGUCAGCAUCAACUGCCAGCCACCUCUGUCUAAAAGUGGGCUAUCUUGGGCAUCCAGCCCAGUCAAGCCUUCAGAUGAGUCCAGUCCCAGCCACUAUCUCACACAACCACACGAGAGACAUCAAGAACUCCCAGUGGAGUCCAGUCAGCCCAUGGAACUGCAAGAGACAGGAUCUCGCUGCGUUGCUCAGACUGGUCUCGAACUCCUGGGCUUAAGGGAUUCUCCUGCCUCAAUCACAGCCUCCCAAGUAGCUGAGAUUAAAAGUGCUCACCACCGUGCCAGCGAGUUCAGUUUUUGAGGGUGGAGCCAAGACUCUGAGGAGAGGGCUGAACUGUGAACCUAGAAGUACCAUCUCCCCCUGCACACACCUUUGGUCAAGUUGACCCCAAGAAGAAGGACAAGUCCUCUGCACGGCGAUGAGGCCAUACACACAGUCUGUGGCCCGGCUUUGGGAGACUGAUGGGACAAAGGAUGUUUUGCACGAUCCUUGGUCUCUGAGCAAAUAUAUACAUGGGUUAACA